ensembl:snRNA U2 U2 spliceosomal RNA
GUCACUUCUCGGCCUUUUGGCUAAGAUCGAGUAUAUUAUCUGUUCUUAUCAGUUUAAAAGCCUUAACAUUUUUGGCUGUUGGUACCCUGAUUGUCAAUAACCAAAAUUCUAUUUACAAAGAAAAAGAGGCCAGGAUAUAGGUAUCUCAUGCCUAUAAUCCCAGCACUUUGA